GCUUGCUUAGCGAAGUUGGUAGAGCGCUCCACUGGAAAUGGAGAGGUCCCGGGUUCGAUACCCGGACCAUGCG
rnacentral:tRNA from 2 species